GCCAGCACACUGUCACCUCUCAGUAUAUAGAGCAAUAUAGGUUUUAUGAAGGGCCGCUAAGCACAACACAGGAUAAGGAAGAAGAAAGCUAAACUAUGGGAAGGAAAACUGCUGAGCCAGUCCUCCAGGCACAAGAGAGGAGUUAUCUCUGGUGAAACUAAAACCAAAUAAACUGGAGUUUUGGGAAGAUGGGGUUGACAAAACCUGUAAACAUUCAGAUUGCCCAAAUUUGUGUCUAAACCUUUUUUGUUUUUUACUCUACUUCCCUCAUUAGCUAUAAAAUAUAUACCCUUAA
rnacentral:lncRNA from 1 species